UCUUCCUACCAUUCUAGUCCUCAUACUUAGCCAGGUACAGCCACUGGCAAAGUAGCUCUCUAGGUCUCCCUUCUAACCAAUGAUCAGAGUCAAAGAAAAUUCCUCCGCACUAUGAGCAAGCAGGUUCUCUGCUGGGUAGCCCUUUGUCUCCUUGCAGUAGGAACCACACAUGGUGGCAUUACUCAGACACCCAAAUUCCUGAUUGGUCAGGAACGGAAGGAAUUGACCUUGAAAUGUAAACAGGAUUUCAAUCAUGAUUCCAUGUACUGGUACCAACAGGAUUCAGGGAAAGGACUGAGACUGAUCUACUAUUCAAUAACUGAAAAUGAUCUUCAAAAAGGCGACCUAUCUGAAGGCUAUAGUGCCUUUCGAGAGAAGAAGCCAUCCUUUUCUCUCACUGUUAAAUCUGCCCAGAAGAACCAGAUGGCUCUUUAUCUCUGUGCUAGCAGCAUAGCACAGUGGAGCACACCUACCCCCUCUCCAUGCAUAAAUGUGCCCAAAUCCUGCUUACCCCACCAGGUGGCUCUUAGGUCCUCCCCUAUCCUCUGUCCUUUCACUUCAGCCAGGACUUGA